GCAAGUCGAACGGUAACAGCAGGAGCUUGCUCCUGGCUGACGAGUGGCGGACGGGUGAGUAACGCGUAGGAAUCUGCCCAGUAGUGGGGGACAACCCGGGGAAACUCGGGCUAAUACCGCAUACGCCCUACGGGGGAAAGGAGGGGAUCUCUUCGGAGACCUUUCGCUAUUGGAUGAGCCUGCGUCGGAUUAGCUAGUUGGUAGGGUAAUGGCCUACCAAGGCGACGAUCCGUAGCUGGUCUGAGAGGACGAUCAGCCACACUGGGACUGAGACACGGCCCAGACUCCUACGGGAGGCAGCAGUGGGGAAUAUUGCACAAUGGGGGCAACCCUGAUGCAGCAAUGCCGCGUGUGUGAAGAAGGCCUGCGGGUUGUAAAGCACUUUCAAUUGGGAAGAAAAGGUGAGGGCUAAUACCCCUUAUUCUUGACGUUACCUUUAGAAGAAGCACCGGCUAACUCCGUGCCAGCAGCCGCGGUAAUACGGAGGGUGCGAGCGUUAAUCGGAAUUACUGGGCGUAAAGCGUGCGUAGGUGGUUCAGUCAGUCAGAUGUGAAAGCCCCGGGCUUAACCUGGGAACUGCAUUUGAUACUGCUGGGCUAGAGUGUGGUAGAGGGAAGUGGAAUUCCGG
rnacentral:rRNA from 1 species